rnacentral:rRNA from 1 species
CCUACGGGAGGCAGCAGUGGGGAAUAUUGCACAAUGGGGGAAACCCUGAUGCAGCGACGCCGCGUGAGUGAAGAAGUAAUUCGUUAUGUAAAGCUCUAUCAGCAGGGAAGAAAAUGACGGUACGUGAGUAAGAAGCCCCGGCUAAGUACGAGCCAGCAGCCGCGGUAAUACGUAGGGGGCCAGCGUUAUCCGGAUUUACUGGGUGUAAAGGGAGCGUAGACGGCAGUGCAAGUCUGGAGUGAAAGGCGGGGGCGCAACCCCCGGACUGCGCUGGAAACUGUACGGCUGGAGUGCAGGAGAGGUAAGUGGAAUGCCUAGUGUAGCGGUGAAAUGCGUAGAUAUUAGGAGGAACACCAGUGGCGAAGGCGGCUUGCUGGACUGUAACUGACGUUGAGGCUCGAAAGCGUGGGGAGCAAACAGGAUUAGAUACCCCUGUAGUC